rnacentral:rRNA from 1 species
UUUUGGCUCAAGACGAACGCUGGCGGCGUGCCUAAUACAUGCAAGUCGUACGCUUCUUUUUCCACCGGAGCUUGCUCCACCGGAAAAAGAGGAGUGGCGAACGGGUGAGUAACACGUGGGUAACCUGCCCAUCAGAAGGGGAUAACACUUGGAAACAGGUGCUAAUACCGUAUAACAAUCGAAACCGCAUGGUUUUGAUUUGAAAGGCGCUUUCGGGUGUCGCUGAUGGAUGGACCCGCGGUGCAUUAGCUAGUUGGUGAGGUAACGGCUCACCAAGGCCACGAUGCAUAGCCGACCUGAGAGGGUGAUCGGCCACAUUGGGACUGAGACACGGCCCAAACUCCUACGGGAGGCAGCAGUAGGGAAUCUUCGGCAAUGGACGAAAGUCUGACCGAGCAACGCCGCGUGAGUGAAGAAGGUUUUCGGAUCGUAAAACUCUGUUGUUAGAGAAGAAUAAGGAUGAGAGUAACUGUUCAUCCCUUGACGGUAUCUAACCAGAAAGCCACGGCUAACUACGUGCCAGCAGCCGCGGUAAUACGUAGGUGGCAAGCGUUGUCCGGAUUUAUUGGGCGUAAAGCGAGCGCAGGCGGUUUCUUAAGUCUGAUGUGAAAGCCCCCGGCUCAACCGGGGAGGGUCAUUGGAAACUGGGAGACUUGAGUGCAGAAGAGGAGAGUGGAAUUCCAUGUGUAGCGGUGAAAUGCGUAGAUAUAUGGAGGAACACCAGUGGCGAAGGCGGCUCUCUGGUCUGUAACUGACGCUGAGGCUCGAAAGCGUGGGGAGCAAACAGGAUCAGAUACCCUGGUAGUCCACGCCGUAAACGA